rnacentral:rRNA from 1 species
UACGGCGGGGGCUAGCGUUGUUCGGAAUUACUGGGCGUAAAGCGCACGUAGGCGGACUGUUAAGUCGGGGGUGAAAUCCCGGGGCUCAACCCCGGAAUGGCCUUCGAUACUGGCGGUCUUGAGGUCUGGAGAGGUGAGUGGAAUUCCGAGUGUAGAGGUGAAAUUCGUAGAUAAUAGGAGGAACACCAGUGGCGAAGGCGGCUCACUGGCCAGAUACUGACGCUGAGGUGCGAAAGCGUGGGGAGCAAACAGG